GAUGAAGAACGUAGUGAAAUGCGAUAAGUAGUGUGAAUUGCAGAAUUCAGUGAAUCAUCGAAUCUUUGAACGCACAUUGCGCCCCUUGGUAUCCCGAGGGGCAUGCCUGUUCGAGCGUCAUUUCACCACUCAAGCCUGGCUUGGUGUUGGGCGACGUCCCCUUUGGGGACGCGCCUCGAAACGCUCGGCGGCGUGGCACCGGCUUUAAGCGUAGCAGAAUCUUUCGCUUUGGAAGUCGGGGCCCCGUCUGCCGGAAGACCUACUCGCAAGGUUGACCUCGGAUCAGGCAGGGAUACCCGCUGAACUUAAGCAUAUCAAUAAGCGAAGGA
rnacentral:misc_RNA from 1 species